UUGGGUACGUCCAUUGAUUAGAGGCUUUUAGUUUUUUUAUGGGAUAUCUCUUGGGUGUAUUUUGGGAUGUCUAAUUAUGGGUGCAAGGGCUUCAAUUAUUGGCGCCUAAAGGGUCUCCUAAAGUAAGUUGGAUAACUUAAGUUAAUAAGAAACCCAAUAUAAGUAGGACUUGUAUUAUGUGAUUGAAUAGGAUUCAAUCCUUGUGUCUAUUUAAAGAGACCUCCGCUAAGGU
rnacentral:lncRNA from 1 species